UGCGGGAUAGAGCAGUCUGGUAGCUUGCAAGGCUCAUAACCUUGAGGUCGGGGGUUCAAAUCCCUCUCCCGCAU
rnacentral:tRNA from 1 species